rnacentral:rRNA from 1 species
UACGUAGGUGGCAAGCGUUAUCCGGAUUUAUUGGGUUUAAAGGGUGCGGAGGCGGGCUUUUAAGUCAGCGGUAAAAAUUCGGGGCUCAACCCCGUCCGGCCGUUGAAACUGGGGGCCUUGAGUGGGCGAGAAGAAGGCGGAAUGCGUGGUGUAGCGGUGAAAUGCAUAGAUAUCACGCAGAACCCCGAUUGCGAAGGCAGCCUUCCGGCGCCCUACUGACGCUGAGGCACGAAAGUGCGGGGAUCGAACAGG